rnacentral:rRNA from 1 species
GACGAACGCUGGCGGCGUGCUUAACACAUGCAAGUCGAACGGAAAGGCCUCUUUCGGGGGGUACUCGAGUGGCGAACGGGUGAGUAACACGUGAGUAACCUGCCCUUGACUUUGGGAUAACUUCAGGAAACUGGGGCUAAUACCGGAUAGGAGCUCCUGCUGCCUGGUGGGGGUUGGAAAGUUUCGGCGGUUGGGGAUGGACUCGCGGCUUAUCAGCUUGUUGGUGGGGUAGUGGCUUACCAAGGCUUUGACGGGUAGCCGGCCUGAGAGGGUGACCGGCCACAUUGAGACUGAGAUGCGGCCCAGACGCCUACGGUAGGCAGCAGUGGGGAAUAUUGCACAAUGGGUGGAAGCCGGAUGCAGCAACGCCGGGGGCGGGAUGACGGCCUUCGGGUGGUAGACCGCUUUCGCUCAUGACGAAGCUUUGCGUGACGGUAGUGGGUAAAGAAGCACCGGCUAACUACGUG